rnacentral:rRNA from 1 species
GAUGAACGCUGGCGGCGUGCCUAAUACAUGCAAGUCGAGCGAACAGACAAGGAGCUUGCUCCUUUGACGUUAGCGGCGGACGGGUGAGUAACACGUGGGUAACCUACCUAUAAGACUGGGAUAACUUCGGGAAACCGGAGCUAAUACCGGAUAAUAUUUCGAACCGCAUGGUUCGAUAGUGAAAGAUGGUUUUGCUAUCACUUAUAGAUGGACCCGCGCCGUAUUAGCUAGUUGGUAAGGCAACGGCUUACCAAGGCGACGAUACGUAGCCGACCUGAGAGGGUGAUCGGCCACACUGGAACUGAGACACGGUCCAGACUCCUACGGGAGGCAGCAGUAGGGAAUCUUCCGCAAUGGGCGAAAGCCUGACGGAGCAACGCCGCGUGAGUGAUGAAGGUCUUCGGAUCGUAAAACUCUGUUAUUAGGGAAGAACAUACGUGUAAGUAACUAUGCACGUCUUGACGGUACCUAAUCAGAAAGCCACGGCUAACUACGUGCCAGCAGCCGCGGUAAUACGUAGGUGGCAAGCGUUAUCCGGAAUUAUUGGGCGUAAAGCGCGCGUAGGCGGUUUUUUAAGUCUGAUGUGAAAGCCCACGGCUCAACCGUGGAGGGUCAUUGGAAACUGGAAAACUUGAGUGCAGAAGAGGAAAGUGGAAUUCCAUGUGUAGCGGUGAAAUGCGCAGAGAUAUGGAGGAACACCAGUGGCGAAGGCGACUUUCUGGUCUGUAACUGACGCUGAUGUGCGAAAGCGUGGGGAUCAAACAGGAUUAGAUACCCUGGUAGUCCACGCCGUAAACGAUGAGUGCUAAGUGUUAGGGGGUUUCCGCCCCUUAGUGCUGCAGCUAACGCAUUAAGCACUCCGCCUGGGGAGUACGACCGCAAGGUUGAAACUCAAAGGAAUUGACGGGGACCCGCACAAGCGGUGGAGCAUGUGGUUUAAUUCGAAGCAACGCGAAGAACCUUACCAAAUCUUGACAUCCUUUGACAACUCUAGAGAUAGAGCUUUCCCCUUCGGGGGACAAAGUGACAGGUGGUGCAUGGUUGUCGUCAGCUCGUGUCGUGAGAUGUUGGGUUAAGUCCCGCAACGAGCGCAACUCUUAAGCUUAGUUGCCAUCAUUAAGUUGGGCACUCUAAGUUGACUGCCGGUGACAAACCGGAGGAAGGUGGGGAUGACGUCAAAUCAUCAUGCCCCUUAUGAUUUGGGCUACACACGUGCUACAAUGGACAAUACAAAGGGCAGCGAAACCGCGAGGUCAAGCAAAUCCCAUAAAGUUGUUCUCAGUUCGGAUUGUAGUCUGCAACUCGACUACAUGAAGCUGGAAUCGCUAGUAAUCGUAGAUCAGCAUGCUACGGUGAAUACGUUCCCGGGUCU